UACGGAGGGGACUAGCGUUGUUCGGAAUUACUGGGCGUAAAGCGCGUGUAGGCGGUUAUCCAAGUCGGGUGUGAAAGCCUUGAGCUCAACUCAAGAAAUGCAUUCGGUACUGGGUGACUAGAGGACCGGAGAGGAUAGUGGAAUUCCCAGUGUAGUGGUGAAAUACGUAGAGAUUGGGAGGAACACCAGUGGCGAAGGCGGCUCACUGGACCGGUACUGACGCUGAUGCGCGAAAGCGUGGGGAGCAAACAGG
rnacentral:rRNA from 1 species